rnacentral:rRNA from 1 species
UGGGAAGUAUUGGACAAUGGGCGAAAGCCUGAUCCAGCAAUGCCGCGUGAGUGAUGAAGGCCUUAGGGUUGUAAAGCUCUUUUACCCGGGAUGAUAAUGACAGUACCGGGAGAAUAAGCCCGCAGCUACCGUGCCAGCAGCCGCGGUAAUACGGAGGGGCGUAGCGUUGUUCGGAAUUACUGGGCGUAAAGCGCGCGUAGGCGGCUUUGUAAGUUAGAGGUGAAAGCCCGGAGCUCAACUCCGGAAUUGCCUUUAAGACUGCAUCGCUAGAAUCAUGGAGAGGUGAGUGGAAUUCCGAGUGUAGAGGUGAAAUUCGUAGAUAUUCGGAAGAACACCAGUGGCGAAGGCGACUUCACUGGACAUGUAUUGACGCUGAGGUGCGAAAGCGUGGGGAGCAAACA